GAUGAACGCUGGCGGCGUGCCUAAUACAUGCAAGUCGAGCGAACAGACGAGGAGCUUGCUCCUCUGACGUUAGCGGCGGACGGGUGAGUAACACGUGGAUAACCUACCUAUAAGACUGGGAUAACUUCGGGAAACCGGAGCUAAUACCGGAUAAUAUAUUGAACCGCAUGGUUCAAUAGUGAAAGACGGUUUUGCUGUCACUUAUAGAUGGAUCCGCGUCGCAUUAGCUAGUUGGUAAGGUAACGGCUUACCAAGGCGACGAUGCGUAGCCGACCUGAGAGGGUGAUCGGCCACACUGGAACUGAGACACGGUCCAGACUCCUACGGGAGGCAGCAAUAGGGAAUCUUCCGCAAUGGGCGAAAGCCUGACGGAGCAACGCCGCGUGAGUGAUGAAGGUCUUCGGAUCGUAAAACUCUGUUAUUAGGGAAGAACAAAUGUGUAAGUAACUAUGCACGUCUUGACGGUACCUAAUCAGAAAGCCACGGCUAACUACGUG
rnacentral:rRNA from 1 species